GAGAGACGUAAGGUCGGCGGAGAAUGCGCGGGUCGAGUGCUGUAGUUCGAUUUUUGCGUGUGUGCGUUGCUUGCGGCCUUUGUGCCUUUUUAUUCUUUGCUUACCUUUAUGAUAUAAAGACCUUAUUUCUUACAAGGAGGAAAAGACCGCUGACUUCAGAAACAGCGGGAACCCCAGCUCGUCCCCGGUAAUUCAAGAGGAAACGCUUGAGCAAUUACUGAUGUUGUAAACUGGGAUCAGAAGACAUACAUGGUAUCGUAUCCCAGGCAAGGCACAGUGGCUCACACCUGUAAUCCCAGCACUUUGGGAGGCUGAAGAAGGCAGAUCACUUGAGGUCAGGAGUUCGAGACCAGCCUGGCUUACAUGGUGAAACCCAUCUCUACUGAACAUACAAAAAUUAGCUGGACAUGAUGGUUAGCUGCACCUCUACUCCACGUGUUCCUCCCUUCAGGUCCCAGGCUGAUGGAGUAGCCUCUGUGUGUUUGGGAUGUUGUCAGUCAUAAUGGUGGACACAAAAGAGAUUAUGACAAACCGUGUAUUGUCUCCUACAAUUUCUGCUCACAGAAGUGGACAACAUCACUUCUUUCCACAUUUCAUUGACCAGAGCAAGUCAUGUGACCAAGCCUGAUUCAAAAUAGGCUGGAGCAAGGAGGAGCAGCAAACAUAACAUUCCCAGUUUACAGCUGAGGAAAUUAAGCUUCAAGUUGCCCAAGUUUAUAGAAUGAGUCAAUGGCAGAGGUUGAACUCAGAUGACAAAAUUGGGGUCUGGACGUGUGCAAGGACUUUUCCAAAGUCAGCUGGAAAGGAGCUGCUUAGCUGAGAGGUUCUGGCUCCAGAGUCUCCUGUGAAGUUGCAGUCAAGAUGUCUGCUGGGACCCCAGUCAUUUGAAGCCCUGUCUGGGGCAGGAGAAUCUAGGUCCAAAAUGGCCGUUGCAGGAGUCCUUAUCCACACCAUGUGGGACCUCUUCAUAGAUGUUCGAGUGUCCUCAUGGCAUGGCCACUGGCUUUCCCCAAAGUAAGCAGUCCAAAAGAGGGUAAGACAGAGCCCACACUGUCUUUUAUGAAUUAGCCUUAGAAGUCUAACACGGUUACUUCCACCACAUUCAUUAGUCGUUAGGUACAGCUCACAUUCAUGGGGAGGAAAAUCAGGGCCUGUCUUUAGAUAGGAGAUGUAUCAAAGAAUUUGUGGACAUAUUUUAAAAUCACAGCACUACUCUUGAUGUACUAAGUCAGUGACUCCCCCAGGAGUCUCACAGAGAAUUGACUCCUUGCCCACCUAUACUACCUUUGUGGGUAGAGACUCCAGUAGUGUGCUGGUUAAUGUUCAACCAGUGGCUUUCUAGAAAACAAAAUGUAUGGAUACAUAUAUAUGUUCUAAGUUUUACUGAUAUGAAGAAUGUGUAGCACAGAAUUUAUAAAUAAUAAAAUAUACAGUAUUAUUUAUUGUAAAUUCCAUAAAACCUGUUGUUUUUCACAAAAGGUUUUAGUUUAUUUUUCCCAAAUGCUUGUAUUGGUAACAUUUUCUGUAUUACCUUUUUAUGUCCAGACAAUCAACAAAACUGAAAAAGCCCAGCCUUGUAGCAUUUGCCAGUUAUUGUGUAAAUGUCCCCACUAUGGUGGAUUUCAGGUUACCACUAUGAUAUCACAGAAUGCAGAAUUGGAAGGAGAUUCACAGCAGCACCCCAUUAUACUAUAUUUUCACCAUACAGAUGCAGUCGAUGUAAAUUACCUGAGGAGCAUAAAUAAUAAUAAAAUGAAGUUAAAUAAUUCGGAAA
rnacentral:lncRNA from 10 species